rnacentral:rRNA from 2 species
UUUAUGGAGAGUUUGAUCCUGGCUCAGGAUGAACGCUGGCGGCGUGCCUAAUACAUGCAAGUCGAGCGAACGGACGAGAAGCUUGCUUCUCUGAUGUUAGCGGCGGACGGGUGAGUAACACGUGGAUAACCUACCUAUAAGACUGGGAUAACUUCGGGAAACCGGAGCUAAUACCGGAUAAUAUUUUGAACCGCAUGGUUCAAAAGUGAAAGACGGUCUUGCUGUCACUUAUAGAUGGAUCCGCGCUGCAUUAGCUAGUUGGUAAGGUAACGGCUUACCAAGGCAACGAUGCAUAGCCGACCUGAGAGGGUGAUCGGCCACACUGGAACUGAGACACGGUCCAGACUCCUACGGGAGGCAGCAGUAGGGAAUCUUCCGCAAUGGGCGAAAGCCUGACGGAGCAACGCCGCGUGAGUGAUGAAGGUCUUCGGAUCGUAAAACUCUGUUAUUAGGGAAGAACAUAUGUGUAAGUAACUGUGCACAUCUUGACGGUACCUAAUCAGAAAGCCACGGCUAACUACGUGCCAGCAGCCGCGGUAAUACGUAGGUGGCAAGCGUUAUCCGGAAUUAUUGGGCGUAAAGCGCGCGUAGGCGGUUUUUUAAGUCUGAUGUGAAAGCCCACGGCUCAACCGUGGAGGGUCAUUGGAAACUGGAAAACUUGAGUGCAGAAGAGGAAAGUGGAAUUCCAUGUGUAGCGGUGAAAUGCGCAGAGAUAUGGAGGAACACCAGUGGCGAAGGCGACUUUCUGGUCUGUAACUGACGCUGAUGUGCGAAAGCGUGGGGAUCAAACAGGAUUAGAUACCCUGGUAGUCCACGCCGUAAACGAUGAGUGCUAAGUGUUAGGGGGGUUUCCGCCCCUUAGUGCUGCAGCUAACGCAUUAAGCACUCCGCCUGGGGAGUACGACCGCAAGGUUGAAACUCAAAGGAAUUGACGGGGACCCGCACAAGCGGUGGAGCAUGUGGUUUAAUUCGAAGCAACGCGAAGAACCUUACCAAAUCUUGACAUCCUUUGACAACUCUAGAGAUAGAGCCUUCCCCUUCGGGGGACAAAGUGACAGGUGGUGCAUGGUUGUCGUCAGCUCGUGUCGUGAGAUGUUGGGUUAAGUCCCGCAACGAGCGCAACCCUUAAGCUUAGUUGCCAUCAUUAAGUUGGGCACUCUAAGUUGACUGCCGGUGACAAACCGGAGGAAGGUGGGGAUGACGUCAAAUCAUCAUGCCCCUUAUGAUUUGGGCUACACACGUGCUACAAUGGACAAUACAAAGGGCAGCGAAACCGCGAGGUCAAGCAAAUCCCAUAAAGUUGUUCUCAGUUCGGAUUGUAGUCUGCAACUCGACUACAUGAAGCUGGAAUCGCUAGUAAUCGUAGAUCAGCAUGCUACGGUGAAUACGUUCCCGGGUCUUGUACACACCGCCCGUCACACCACGAGAGUUUGUAACACCCGAAGCCGGUGGAGUAACCUUUUAGGAGCUAGCCGUCGAAGGUGGGACAAAUGAUUGGGGUGAAGUCGUAACAAGGUAGCCGUAUCGGAAGGUGCGGCUGGAUCACCUCCUUU